rnacentral:rRNA from 1 species
CAGCAGUCGCCGCGGUAAUACGAAGGGUGCAAGCGUUACUCGGAAUUACUGGGCGUAAAGCGUGCGUAGGUGGUGGUUUAAGUCCGUUGUGAAAGCCCUGGGCUCAACCUGGGAAUUGCAGUGGAUACUGGAUCACUAGAGUGUGGUAGAGGAUAGUGGAAUUUCCGGUGUAGCAGUGAAAUGCGUAGAGAUCGGAAGGAACAUCUGUGGCGAAGGCGACUAUCUGGGCCAACACUGACACUGAGGCACGAAAGCGUGGGGAGCAAACAGGAUUAGAUACCCCCGUAGUCCCUGUCUCUUAUAC